UUUUACGGUGAUUGGCAAGUACUUCCUGGUACUACCCAGUACUACCGCUUGGAAUUAUUUCAGCCGUCGAUCUUACGCAAUAAAUUAUCAAUUCUUAAUUUACAUAACCAGGGGUAUUACUGUAACUUCUCAACCCGCAUAACCUGUCCGCUCGAGAGCACGAUCCAGUCAGGCAGAGGCGGGCGUUGCACGAUGGGGAUCUCGGCGAUGCAGCGAUCGCGCCGGGCCUCGCCGGUGCUCUCCGGGGAUUGGCCUCGCCGCUGUCUUUGGGGACUUCCCUGCACCUCUGCCCCCGUGCCCGCUGCCGCCCGCCUACCCUGGCCGCUGGAGAGCACGAUCCGGUCCGCGGCCUCUGCCCCCUGCGGCCCUGCCCCGCCGCCUCCUUCUUAUGAAUCGCCGCUGACGCCUCCUUCCGGCGAGAGGCCGAUCUGCCGCUCCCAGGUGAGAGUUUUGGUUGUACAGUUGUCGCGAGAGCAAGAGAUUGCUCGUGAAGUCCUGUAAUCAGAUAAUGCUGAUGGCGAAGACGGUGGUGAGAUGGAUGAUGCCUUAUCUGCACCUGCGCCUGGUGAGUACAAGGACUAGAAUUUAUAACAGUCCUAUCAUGCUACCUUGUUACUGCUUACCACUAGUCCACCAGUAAAAGGGUUCAUAGUUUGUAACUGUACUAAUCCUGGUGUUUGUAUAUUUGCAUGAUUGUCUUACUUCUCUGGACCAAUUGUUUUGUGUAUUUUCUGAUUAUUAUAGCUGAGGCUAUAUUGUGCUGACGGUGAACUUCUUUUUGGGUUUGUACAGCUUAUCUCCAUUUCCAUUAGUUGGAUAUGUUUCUUGUGGCUUGAGCAUAGCCGAGGUACAUUUUUCCUUGGUUGAGAGAUGAACCAGGCUUGAAUUUUACAGCAUGUAUGCAAUAAACUGAUGUAUUGUCUGCCCUACUUAAUAUUUCAUAGGAGCUCCAGCAAACCUAGACUCCAGUGCACUAGCACUACUAUUUCUUUUCCCAAACUUAACUCAUUGUUAUCUUAUGUGCUCUUGUUUAUGUGCCUGCAAGGAUCUUGUAUCUGUGAAGGAAUGCAUAAAGCAGUUCUUGGUCAGGCUGCCGAUCUGCCAAUUCAUCGUGCCGAGGAACCUGAAUCUCCUAGCCAUACCUCCGUCAGUCUCACAGGAAAAGAGAAGAGCAGCCGUAAACACGACCGUGUAGAUUGGACAAGAGAAGAACAGCCACAAAAAUGCUCCAAGUUGGUCUCAGUCGAGCCAAGGAGAGUGUAGUCUGAACCGAAGCGUGCAAUCGUCUGGGUGUAGUCAUCAAUAAAAUGUAAAACACUGAUAUGGUAUCAUAUGUAAUGCUGACGGUGGUGGGUUUUGUUAACCAGCUCGCUAGGUUCACAGGAACCUGUUCUGUGUAUUUUUGCAAAGAGAUAAUAAAAGAUGAUAUGAUGUUAAUCUUGUUGUA